rnacentral:tRNA from 1 species
UCCCUGGUGGCUCAGAUGGUAAGGCAUCUGCCUGCAAUGCAGGAGACCCGGGUUCGAGUCUUGGGUCGGGAA